rnacentral:rRNA from 1 species
UUUUAAAUUUAGAGUUUGAUCCUGGCUCAGGACGAACGCUGGCGGCGUGCUUAACACAUGCAAGUCGAGCGAUGAAGCUUCCUUCGGGAAGUGGAUUAGCGGCGGACGGGUGAGUAACACGUGGGUAACCUGCCUCAAAGUGGGGGAUAGCCUUCCGAAAGGAAGAUUAAUACCGCAUAAUAUAAGAGAAUCGCAUGAUUUUCUUAUCAAAGAUUUAUUGCUUUGAGAUGGACCCGCGGCGCAUUAGCUAGUUGGUAAGGUAACGGCUUACCAAGGCAACGAUGCGUAGCCGACCUGAGAGGGUGAUCGGCCACAUUGGAACUGAGACACGGUCCAGACUCCUACGGGAGGCAGCAGUGGGGAAUAUUGCGCAAUGGGGGAAACCCUGACGCAGCAACGCCGCGUGGGUGAUGAAGGUCUUCGGAUUGUAAAGCCCUGUUUUCUAGGACGAUAAUGACGGUACUAGAGGAGGAAGCCACGGCUAACUACGUGCCAGCAGCCGCGGUAAUACGUAGGUGGCGAGCGUUGUCCGGAUUUACUGGGCGUAAAGGGUGCGUAGGCGGAUGUUUAAGUGGGAUGUGAAAUCCCCGGGCUUAACCUGGGGGCUGCAUUCCAAACUGGAUAUCUAGAGUGCAGGAGAGGAAAGCGGAAUUCCUAGUGUAGCGGUGAAAUGCGUAGAGAUUAGGAAGAACACCAGUGGCGAAGGCGGCUUUCUGGACUGUAACUGACGCUGAGGCACGAAAGCGUGGGUAGCAAACAGGAUUAGAUACCCUGGUAGUCCACGCCGUAAACGAUGGAUACUAGGUGUAGGGGGUAUCAACUCCCCCUGUGCCGCAGUUAACACAAUAAGUAUCCCGCCUGGGGAGUACGGUCGCAAGAUUAAAACUCAAAGGAAUUGACGGGGGCCCGCACAAGCAGCGGAGCAUGUGGUUUAAUUCGAAGCAACGCGAAGAACCUUACCUGGACUUGACAUCCCUUGCAUAGCCUAGAGAUAGGUGAAGCCCUUCGGGGCAAGGAGACAGGUGGUGCAUGGUUGUCGUCAGCUCGUGUCGUGAGAUGUUAGGUUAAGUCCUGCAACGAGCGCAACCCUUGUUAUUAGUUGCUACCAUUAAGUUGAGCACUCUAAUGAGACUGCCUGGGUAACCAGGAGGAAGGUGGGGAUGACGUCAAAUCAUCAUGCCCCUUAUGUCCAGGGCUACACACGUGCUACAAUGGUAGGUACAAUAAGACGCAAGACCGUGAGGUGGAGCAAAACUUAUAAAACCUAUCUCAGUUCGGAUUGUAGGCUGCAACUCGCCUACAUGAAGCUGGAGUUGCUAGUAAUCGCGAAUCAGAAUGUCGCGGUGAAUACGUUCCCGGGCCUUGUACACACCGCCCGUCACACCAUGAGAGCUGGUAACACCCGAAGUCCGUGAGGUAACCGUAAGGAACCAGCGGCCGAAGGUGGGAUUAGU